AACUGUAAUGUACAAUAUAAAACCAUCCCCAAUCAAUCCCCAUAUUCAGUCACUAGGUCGGUGUUCUCUGCCACAAUGUUACCGGUCAUGUCCUCCAACUCCGUCUCAGAAGCUUUUUUCCUGUGGGAGACGAGUUUUCAACUGAUGAUGACCAAUGGGAAGCUCAAUACGAAGCUUAUUGGAGGUCCAGAUUUGGUGGUAAAUAGUGGGAAGAGGACUUGUGGGGUUCAAACCCUAGUAUUCAAGCACAACAGGAGGGUUUUUUUGUUGUUUUGAGAUUUUCAUCAAUUUAAUGUGCUCAUGUUUAUUAAUAAUGUCAUCAUGAAAGCUAUAGUUUUGUUUGGGUUGCUCUUGAUACUUUUAAGUGCGAUUUUAUUAUUAACUGAAGUUAUGUAUAUAUAGCAAUAAAUUUGAACAAUCUUUCAGAUUUGGAUUUCAAAAACAGAAAUAGUGAAAAUGAUGUUGAGAUUGCAUUUGCAUUUGGUAGAGUGAUUUUGGAAAGUCUUUUCUUAAAACUUUUCUUGAAUCUAAAUUUCAGACCCCUUUUGUUGAAAUUUUAGGAAGUCUUUUUUUUUUUUUUUUUUUUUGUGACACACUACUUAACCCAAAAGCUAAAGGAAAUGGGUUUGGGAAAUUGAGCUCAAUAAUGUUCUAUUAAUUUGUUCUUUGUUUCUUGUCCAUAUGGGACUUCCACUUGUAUGUGUAUAUGCAACAAUUUUUUUUUGCUUCUUAAAUUUUUUAUGGUGUCUUCUUUCUUCUUCUUUUUGGUAAGACGUUUCUCUAAACAUGUAUGAUCCGGUUGCACAGUUAUCAUUUGACCCUCCCUUUUGUUCUAAUACUUGUGCAGCAUGAUCAAUUCUUUACUCAACACAAAUUGAGUAUGAGAAGCUUUGUACUUUCUGUAUCUUAAAGUGUAAUUGUUAAUUAUAUUUCACCAUAAGAGGCUUUCCUAAGAAGAAUUCCGGCACGAUUUAAUCCAAAAAGACAAAACUGGUCGUUUGUUUUCUAGGACAAGAUGAAAUUGAGCCUUCAACCAACCAGAACUUUGGUCUCUCUUAAAGAAUCUUACAUUUGUCAACACAUUUGCUUCUGGAAGUCUUGUUCCCAAGGCUUACAUAUGGCCUGUAGAUGAAACUAGUUAUUUACAAGCUCAUGAAGAAGAGCUAGAAGUUUUGUUUCAAUUUUGCGUAUGGUGUUCCACUUUGCUUCAGUUACAGUUAUGAUCCAGUAAUUCAGUUUUUGAAUUACAUUGACAAUGGAAGCUUCGCUGUUAAUGGUGUGCGGGCCGACGUCCCACUUAUACUCCAUCAGAUUGCUUUGCUCAUUUCGGCCAAAAUAUUGUUUUUGACCUUUUUCUUUCACCUUCCUCACUCUCCUGCGAAUCCUUUGUUUAUCUCUUAAUAAGGAGCAAGUGGAGAUUACGCUGGCUGUAUGGAUUUAGCAUAUAGGAAAGCUAUUGAUGAUCAUGUAGAUGUACUUGACUGUCUUGUUCAAUUGGCAAAGGAUGGACUCUGUUUAGAUAUACUAUUAUUUUUUUUGUAAGCAUUCCUGCGGCGUAAUAUAAUUAGGUGGAAUACUAUUGAUGAUCAUGUAGAUGUACUUCACUGUCUUGUUCAAUUGGCAAAGGAUGGACUCUGUUUUGAUUUACUAUUAAUUUUUUUGUAAGCAUACUUGCAUAAUAUAAUUAGGUGGAAUGGUAAUUAUAUUGGUCAAAUUUGGUCUAGGGGGCUCUAGUGUGCAGAACCAUCUUCAACUCUUGCACAGGACAUUGCAAAGGCCAAGGAACUCUUGAAGCAGAGAGGAGGUGACAUUGGCUAUCAAAGACUUUGUUAUGACGUUUUUGAGGAGCCAAAGUAAUUUUAUGACAUUUUCAAUAUAUAUCACAUCUUGGGGUACAAAUUGUGGAUUUGAGGAGAUACAAUUUGGUUGCUAUAUAAAAUUUUGAUUGUUGUUUGAAACUAAAAA